AUUGAACGCUGGCGGCAGGCCUAACACAUGCAAGUCGAGCGGGGUUUUCGGACCUAGCGGCGGACGGGCGAGUAAUGCGUAGGAAGCUACCCGAUAGAGGGGGAUACCAGUUGGUAACGACUGUUAAUACCGCAUAAUGUCUACGGACCAAAGUGUGGGACCUUCGGGCCACAUGCUAUCGGAUGCGCCUACGUGGGAUUAGCUAGUUGGUGAGGUAAUGGCUCACCAAGGCGACGAUCCCUAGCUGGUUUGAGAGGAUGAAUAGCCACACUGGAACUGAGACACGGUGCAUAAUCCUGCGCGAGACAUCAGUGGGGAAUAUUGGACAAUGGCAGCAAGGCUGUUCAAGCCAUGCCGCGUGUGUGAAGAAGGCAUUAGGGUUGUAAAGCUCUUUCAGUAGGGAGGAAGCGUUGUGUGUUAAUAGUACCCAGCGUUGACGUUACCUACAGAAGAAGCAACGGCUAACUCUGUGCCAGCAGCCGCGGUAAAAC
rnacentral:rRNA from 1 species